UGUCAGUUACUGCUCAUUCCAGAACAUCUAAAGUUGUGUUGAUUCUGUCUGAUCGUCACACAUGUAAGGAUGAAGGGUGUAAUCCUGUGGUCUCAUUCUGGAAGUAACAUUGUUGCAGAUGGGUAACAUUGCAGAAAGAUUGAAGGUGACCCCCGGAAAGCAAUCGCGGAUCUGCCAGAUUUGGGUUGACAGCAUUUGUAAAGGAGGAAGCAGUCUUGGAUUUCCUGGCCCACCCUACACCCACCUGUCAGAAACCGCCGUCUACCUGAAGACACCAGAGUUUCACUCAACACCCACUGACUGAAACUGAAAGCAUUCACCUGAACCUGCUCGCAGCUAACAGACACUUUCAUUCAACAAGAUCUGCCGUAAAUCUGUGACAGGAUCAUAUACGGCGGGAGUCGCACGCCAUGAUGUAGAUCACAGAUCUUCAUCAGAGAACAGCGUGAGCUUUAAGCAUGUCUGGUCCUGUCAAGCUUACCGUGUUUUCGUCAUCGAUGUGUCGUCACGUCAAGGGAAAAAGACAAAUGACACCAGUAUAAUUUACACAAUUACAAUUUACAAUGAGGUUGUUCAGUAUUUGUUAACAUGAAUUAAAAGUGAGCAUUACAGUUUUGAGCAUGUCCUAAUCUUUCUCAAUAUUAGUUCAAUUGAUCGUGUUAGUUGAUUGGGCAUUAACUAAUGUUCACAAUUUUUGAUUUUAAAAUGUAUUAAUAAAUGCUGAAAUUAACAUGAACUAAUAUGAAUAAUUACUGCAAAAAUAUUGUUUUGUUAGUUUAUGUUAACUAAUGCAUUAACUAAGGUUAGCAAAUACAACCGUACUGUAAAGUGUUAGCAGUUAUACUUAAAGAUGUUAAAAUAAUAACAAGUGUUUAUUGUGAUAUACAGU